rnacentral:rRNA from 1 species
GCUAAGGCCCCAAAAUGAUAACUAAGUGUCUAAGGCUGUGGAAGCGCAUAGACAACCAGGAGGAUGGCUUAGAAGAAGCCAUCCUUUAAAGAAAGCGUAACAGCUCACUGGUCUAUGCGACUCUGCGCCGAAAAUUCAACGGGGCUCAAAGCUUUAACCGAAGACACGGGCUUGAUAUUAGAAUUUAGAAUGUAGAAUAUUGAAUUUGGAAUAUUGAAUUUUACGGUCUUAAAUAGGCUUUAAAAUUUUUCCUGUUCCAGAUUCUGAAUUUCAGGUUCUAUAUUCUGUAUUCUAGUAUCAAGCGGUAGAGGAGCGUUCCCAGUACAGCGAAGCCGCGCCGCGAGGCCAGGUGGAGUGCUGGGAAGUGAAAAUGAUGGUAUGAGUAACGUUUUAAGUUUGAUGAAAAAUCAGACCACCGAAAACCCAAGGUUUCCCAAGCUACGUUAAUCGACUUGGGGUUAGUCGGUCCUAAGGCGAGGCUGAAAAGCGUAGUCGAUGGACAACAGGUUAAUAUUCCUGUACAACUUAUUUUUCGCAAGAGCAAGACAUUUUGUUAGUGGAAGUGUUUGUUUCGACUUCGGUUGAAAUAAAUGUGACUGCAAAGCGGAAUGUGGCGCUAGCUCAGGGGUAACGCAUUUGGUUAGCUGGAGCGUGUUAAUGAAUUCACGUGCAAGCUACAAGCUUAUGCUUCCAUAGGUAAAUCCGUGGAGGUUCGCGAGUAGUGACGCAAAUAACUCACCGCAAGGUGGGCGAUUCCAGUGACAUCGGGUGCCAAGAAAAACCUCGGUAGCGAGAAAAGUAGGUUUCCGUACCGCAAACCAACGCUGGUGGGAAGGUAGAGAAUACCAAGGUGAUCGGGAUAACUCACGUUAAGGAACUCGGCAAUACAGCAGGUGUAACUUCGGGAUAAACCUUGCCGGAUUUUUUAGAUUUCGAUUUAGAAGAUUCGGCCGCAGUAAAUGACUUCAUGCAACUGUUUACCAAAAACACAGGUCUCUGCAAAUUCGUAAGAAUAUGUAUAGGGGCUGAAGCCUGCCCGGUGCCAGAAGGUCACGAGGAGGGGUUAACGCUCCGAAUCUAAGCCCUGGUGAACGGCGGCCGUAACUAUGAAAUUAAUCCGUUGUAGUUACGUAAAUAAAUUUGGCUAUAUGCUGGAAUAUCUGGUGGAUCUCAUGGUACUUUAAGGUAAAUUUCUUAAAGUAAUAAUCCAAUGAGUGCAGACAAUCAGCAGGAAAGAUUCAUCAAUAAAAUUAUUGAUUCAAUACCAAACGAUCUUGGUCACUAUUUCGCAGGAUUUGCGGAUGGUGAAGGAAGUUUUAAUGUUUCGUUUCGAAAACGAAAGGAUUAUGUACUUCCCUGGAAGAUAUCACUUUGUUUCAACAUUUCGCAAAAAGAGUUUGAAAUUCUUAAAAUGUUUCAAGCCACUUUGCAAUGUGGCACAAUGAGGAGUCGUCCAGAUGGAAUCUGGUAUUACGAAGUCAAUAAUUUACCGGAAAUAUGUUCGAUAAUUAUUCCGCUCUUCAAGAAAUUUCCAUUUCUUUCUAAAAAGAAGAAAAGAGAUUUCGAUAAGUUUUGUCAGAUAGCGGCACUUAUGUCUUUGAAUCAACAUCAUGCAAUCAAUGGUAUUCGCGAAAUUGUGGCGAUUAGAGAUAAAAUGAAUGAUGGUGGUAAAAGAAAAUACACGUCGAAAAUUAUAUUAUCGGAAAUUGAUGAAAAUCCUCAGAGACUACAUGCCAAACCUGAUCUUGCGAUCAGGAUGAUAUAGUCCGAACUAUAUGGCGACAUAGAGAGAUAGUUAGAAAUAGCUAUCCUUCCAUUUUGUGGAAUGUAACAUUAUGAACGGUCCUAAGGUAGCGAAAUUCCUUGUCGGGUAAGUUCCGACCCGCACGAAUGGUUUAAUGGUGUGAAGACUGUCUCAACGUGAGACCCGGUGAAAUUACAAAGUCGGUAAAAAUGCCGAUUAACUAUGGUAGGGCGAAAAGACCCCGUGCAGCUUUACUACAACUUGACAUUGAGUCGAAAUAUAUUUUGCGCAGGAUAGAUGGGACGCUUUGAAGUCUGGACUUUGGUCCAGGUGGAGCGGCCGUUGAGAUACCAUCCUUGAUAUAUUUUGCCUCUAACUUCUGGCGUUAAUCCGUCAGGGAGACAGUGUUUGGUGGGUAGUUUGACUGGGGCGGUUGCCUCCUAAAGAGUAACGGAGGCGUGCUAAGGUUCUCUAGGUCUGGAUGGAAAUCAGACCGAUAGUGUAAUCGCACAAGAGAGCUUAACUGUGAGACUGACACGUCGAGCAGAUGCGAAAGCAGGCGAUAGUGAUCCGAUAGUUCCAUGUGGGUGGACUAUCGCUCAACGGAUAAAAGUUACGCCGGGGAUAACAGGCUUAUCGGGUCCAAGAGUUCACAUCGACGACCCGGUUUGGCACCUCGAUGUCGGCUCGUCGCAUCCUGGGGGUGGAGAAGCUCCCAAGGGUUUGGCUGUUCGCCAAUUAAAGCGGUACGCGAGCUGGGUUCAGACCGUCGUGAGACAGGUCGGCCUCUACCCUCCAUAGUCGCAGGAAAUUUGAGAGAAGUUGCCCCUAGUACGAGAGGACCGGGGCGAACGAACCUCUAGUGUAUCUGUUGUCACGUCUAGUGGCAUGGCAGAGUAGCUAUGUUCGGAAGGGAUAAACGCUGAAAGCAUCUAAGUGUGAAACCCUGCUCAAGAUAAGAUUUCCCCAUGAGCCUCCCGGGAGACUACCGGGUUGAUAGGUCUCAGGUGUAAGUACUGUGAAGUACUCAGCCAAGAGAUACUAACAGGCGAUUGACUUAUUU